UACGACUACAUAUCAGGCAUAUCAAUAAGCGGAGGAAAAGAAACUAACAAGGAUUCCCUUAGUAACGGCGAGUGAAGCGGGAAGAGCUCAAAUUUGAAAUCUUCAAGGUUUUACCUUGACGAAUUGUAGUUUAAAGAAGUGCUUUCUGUUGAAGUUUUGGUAAAAGUUCUUUGGAAUAGGACAUCAUAGAGGGUGAGAAUCCCGUAUUUGACCAUUAUUUUCAGCUGUGUGAUACACUUUCAAAGAGUCGGAUUGUUUGGGAAUGCAGUCCAAAAUGGGUGGUAAAUUUCAUCUAAAGCUAAAUAUUGGCGAGAGACCGAUAGCGAACAAGUACCGUGAGGGAAAGAUGAAAAGAACUUUGAAAAGAGAGUUAAACAGUACGUGAAAUUGUCAAAAGGGAAGCGUUUGGACACCAGUGUUGUUUUCUCGAAAAUCAAUUAAAAAGAGUUGGAUUUUGUGUUGUAUUGACCUUAACAGCUUGCUUCACUCUUUUCCAGCUUUUUUUAAUGCACUUUUCGUUUAACAAGUCAACAUCAGUUUCUUUUGUUGUAAAAGGGUCAUUGGAAGGUGGCUUUCUCUUCGGAGAAAGUGUUUAUAGCCUUUGAUCUCUGCAAUCGGAGAGACUGAGGUCUGCAGCGUAGAUCCUUCGGGGUUAGAUACAUUUGUGCUAAGCUACAGCUUUUCAUAGACAACUUGUUGACUAUGUUUAGUCUUGUGACUUACCCGCUUAUGCUAUUUUACCUACGCUUAGGAUGUUGAGCGCAUGUCUCUCUCU
rnacentral:rRNA from 1 species